CCAGUGCGAACAGCUGAGAGGUGUGAUUUCACAGGCUGGCUCCCCCCUGUCAGGGCCCUGAUUGGGCCGGACAGGAGGCACAGGAGAGGCCCGGGCUUCUAAAGGACACCAACAGGUGGGAGGCCGCUUUGGAGGGGGGUGCUCCUGGCGGGAUAGAAAAGGGCGAUCUGCAAGGCCUGUUGUGGGCACAAUCCACCGGGCCAGAUAUGGAAGAGGAUGGUUGAUCGCAGGAUAGCUGAGGUGAAGAGAGCAGAGGGGCAGGAUGAAGUUGUGGAGUGGUUCUCGGGAAGGGAUAGUUAAGAGUUUUUGGGCUGUGAAGGGUGGAUAGGGCAGCUUCAGGGACAAGGUGUAAGGUUGGUCUGAGAGUUUAGCCUUUUCUGGUCACAGUGUUCCAGUGCUUUCUGACCAACAAGUUUUUGUAGUUUUUUAGUUGUUGGUUAAUGUAAAAGGUUGAUAUUUGACAUCAGCAACUGGACAGUACAUUGACAUGGUGUUCUGUUGCAGACUUUUUGGUCAUUCUAGUUUCCUUGAUUUGCGGCACCAUGUAAAACAAGCAUGUGUCAAACCAGUUGUUUUCCGUACGUUUUACGAUAGAAACAACACACCAUGGCAGAGCCUGACACCUCUGUCAGGUGAGGGGAAGCUGAGGUGUGACACAGGAAGGAAUCAGGAAAUUCUCACUACAGUCUAAUCAGAGAAAAAGGGCCAGGCUUUCUAAUAGCAAUUUGGUUCGGAGCUGGUUGGUUAGGUUAAUCAAGGAAGUCACCACAAGAAAGUGUAGGAGAGGCUGGUCAAACCCAAUGUGGCCUCAAGCUCAACUCCGGCUGCUCACCACAAGAAAACCACAUAGGAGAAGCAGCAGGAUUCAAUAUAGGUAAGGCUGAAGAGGACAUGGUGGCCUGAACCCUCGAAGAAGAUUUCCCCCUACUAUUUCCUCUCUUUCUCUUCUCUCAUGUCCUUCUUUUUCUAUGUCCUCUACCCCUAUAACCUUCCGUCUCUCACCCCUCCUCACAGCAUGUCCCCUUCCUGCUCCCCCUCGCUCAGCCGCCUCUUGCAGCUGAAGCAACACGCCUUGCUGUGGCUGGUCAAACGGAACCAAGUCAGGUGUUUCUGUGAGGUUUGGUCCCCUUCAACCAGCUACUGCGUCGUGAAUUCAGUCAGCGUGGAAUCAAAGACACAGUGGCGUUGUGGUGUUCGCUGCAUACAUUGGGGAUUUGUUAUUGAUAGAUUAUUUUUGUUCUUCGGUAGUCUGGGGUUUGUUUGUUUCCUGUUUGACAAUGGAUGUUUGAAAAAGCAAAUAAAGGAUUGCUGAACAUA